UUAUACCAACUCAUAAUUUUAUGAGAAAAAGCAUUCCAGUGUAAUAAUCCAAAGGGAGUAAAAGAAAACUUGGAAAUUCAUUUUUUUCCCCUAGUUUUCUCAUUCAAAGACUUGGAAGAUGAGAAGUGUGUAUGUGUUUUAAGUGGAAUUUAAAAGAAAGCCAUUGGCAGAGAUGCUUCCAAGACACCCUGGGAGGAAGGUCCAGUAACAGGCAGCUGGAAAUAGGAGUGUGGCACUCGAGAGAGAGGUGGAGAGGCACAGAUAUUCACUUGGUCAUCCACACCAAAUGAACUAAUGUUCUCCUGUCCUCUGAAGAACAUCCUG